UACGGCCAGAUUGCGUUGAAACAUCAAUUAUCGUACGAUCGGCGAACUUAAGCAACAUUAAGCCUGGUCAGUAGCUAGAUGGGUGACCUCUUGGGAAUACCAAGUGCUGUAAG